rnacentral:lncRNA from 1 species
GCGAAAUCGGGAGCUUACCAGAGAAUUCCUUGGGAUUGUUGGGGGGCAUCUCCCCUCCGCUGCUGUGUGUGGCGUGGCUCUUCCCGGCUACUCCUUGCUUCCCCGAGCCCGAGUCUGCGCCGCCAGCCUUCCUUGGGGCAGCGGCCACCGCUCAGCCCCGGCCGGGAGAUCCGAAAUGUGAGGAGGGGUCGCCGCCGCCUCCCGCCCCAGGCCGCAGGGUCGGCGCGAGGGAUGCUAUUCCGGCCGGGCGCUCGGGGGGCUGAGGGGCUUCGCCUGACAAACUGAGUUGGCCUCGCGCCCCCGGCGCCCUCCCGCCCGUCGCUUCGAAGGGACUCCCAAGUCUGCGCACCUCUGUCAGGCUUUUGCUUCCACCACCCCUUUCGCUCUGAUUCCCGAUUUUUUUUUCCUAAGGGAGCGUGCGGUCUGGGGGUGUGUGCGUGUGUGUGAAAGACCUCUCUCGAAGAGCGGCGUGUGGGAAACUGCGGGAAAAUGUUGACUUAACCCCAGGAGCCGCCCGGCGCUGGCUGCUCGGCUGGAGGCGGCGGCGGCCGAGCAGGAGGACGCGCCGAGCUGCGGCGCCGUGUCCGGCCGGGGAGCUGCGGCGCUGCCUCCCGCGCGGACUCGGCGGCCGAGGACCCGCUCGCGGCCGGCCUCGGCCCUCUCCGGCCGGGGUAGCCGCUGCCCUCCGCGCCUGUCCCCGCGCGGCCCCCACGCCAGACGGCCCUCCCUCGGGGCGCGCUCGCAGACGGAGAUAUGAAGAUCAAUGAUGCAGACUGAUGGUUUUGAUGAAGCUGGGCAUUUAUAACUAGAUUCAUUAAGGAAUAC